rnacentral:lncRNA from 1 species
GAAUAUUAUAAUUUGCUGCAAUUAUAGAAUUACAGCCAUAUUACGUAUUAUACUGCAUCAAAUUGGAAUCAAUGUUGCAUAAUUAUCAUAUGAAUAGUAUACAAAUUAGUUUGUGUAUUAUAUGUAACACUAUGUUAUAAUGUAUUCUGGCAUUUCCCAUGCUCCAAAUGCAAGUUGCCAGUUAAAGCAUUUGCUUAAAUCCCAAUCUACAGCUCACUUUAGAUUGCCAACCUACCUUAAUUUCAUUUCUUCAUAUCUUGCACAGUCUUCAUCACUGCCUUGGGCUCCACCACAAUAUUUUUGCCUCGGCACAUGUAAUUAUUCAGAUCUUGGCCUGACAGAUUUUAAUCCAUUCCACAUUAAUGCAGAAUUGUUGUAGAACAAUCACAGAACUACAGAAAAAUACAGGAGAGGGGGGAAAAAAGCCAAAUAUUCAGUAGCAGAGAAUCUAACUAGAAAAUAAAACUUGCUUGAAACUGUGAGUAGAAUGUAGAAACAUUCCUUAGCCUGAGUGGUUUAUUGCAAAUCAGCAUGUCUAGUUACUAAUUGUUGAGUGUAUCUGAAACCAAUGGAUCAGCUACAGUCUGUAACAGUCACCUUAUCACUCUAUUAGCUGUGAUGGGUUGUCGACAAAUCCACAGCCUCUGUUCCAGCCUUACUGUCUGCACUGCGCACCCCUGGCCAAGUAAGCAAAUCCCAGAGAUACACAUAAAUUGUUCCAACUUUCCUGCAACAUCAAGUAGCACUUGUAGCUUGGAUGGCUGAAAGCCCUCUGAAUUAAAAGUUGCCACAGGACUGUUCUUGCUGUCAGGCACAGCCAGUGUGUGCCUGAGCCAGACGAGAUGUGUGGUACCACCCUCAGCCACUAAAAGAACAAGCCAGAUGCAUUUCAGUAUAUUUGAAGUUUUCCAUUUUAACACAGAAAUAGCAUUUCAUACAGAUUUCUAAUGGUCUUCUAUCUGAAAGCCUUUUCUUCAUAGAAUCAUAGAAUGGCCUGGGUUGUAAAGGACCACAAUGAUCGUACAGUUUCAACCCCCUGCUAUGUGCAGGGUCACCAUCACCAGACCAGGCUGCCCAGAGCCACAUCCAGCCUGGCCUUGAAUGCCUCCAGAGACGGGGCAUCCACAACCUCUUUGGGCAACCUGUUCCAGUGCGUCACCACCCUCUGUGUGAAAAACUUCCCCCAAGUAUCUCACCUAAACCUCCCAUGUCAAUUUAAAACCAUUCCCCUUGUCGUAUCACUAUCCACCCUCGUAAACCACUGUUCCCUCUCCUGUUUAUACCCUCCCUUCAAGUACUGGAAGGCCACAAUGAGGUCUCCCCAGAGCCUUCUCUUCUCCAAGCUAAACAAGCCUAGUUCUCUCAACCUUUCUUCACAGGAGAGGUGUUCCAGCCCUCUGAUCAUCUUAGUGUCCCUCCUGCGGACCUGCUCCAAGAGCUCCAUGUCUUUCUUCACCUUAGCACUUCCAGUAACUUCUCCUGAAGGCGAAGCAAGUAGCCCAGCACCCCGGAGCGCUCCACAUGCUGUUAUCCACACAGAUCGCCGUAAUACCCAAUGAAAGAAAACACACUUCUUUAUGGAAUUCACCUCAAGCAAACUGCAGCAUCUUUUUUGCUACGACUCCUGUGGAAUUAGGGCUAUUUUGUCCUUAUUCCCAGCUGCCUGAUCAAUGAUCUUCUGUGUGCAGGUUUUACUCAGUACAGCCUCUUUGCAUUCCCAGCUCAACACAAUUGACGCCUGAGAUGUGACCAGCAAACCAUGGCUCACAGAAGCACAGCAGAAAGUGGCAAAGAUGCUGCUAUGUCCAAGCAGGAACAGCCACUAAGAGCCCUUUGGUUUUGCAUUAGAGAGGAUGAGCAGACUAAAACUAAGAAAACCUGUCAUAUUUCCUGCAUAGUAAAUCAAACCACAGCUCUGCUUGCAGACCAACUCCAGCAGAAUCACAGAAUUAUCAAGGUUGGAAAAGACCUAGAAGAUCAUCUAGUCCAACCAUNNNNNUAAAUCAUAUUCCUCAACACAACAUCCAAACGUUUCUUGAACACUCCCAUGGUUGGUGACUCCACCACCUCCCUGGGCAGUGCAUUCCAAUGCCUGACUACCCUUUCUGAGAGGUAAUACUUCCUAAUGUCCAGCCUGAAUCUCCCCUGGCACAGCUUAAAUCCAUUCCCUCUAGUUCUAUCACCAGCAGCCAGGCUUCCUGGGGACUUCCCAGCCAGGAAGCAACCCACAACUAUGUGUGAACUUCUGGUCACCUUGGCAGUGAGAGCCAUCAGAGCACAGGUGUGAAAGGGCUCAGAUCCCCACUCAGGACAGUGUAGCAGUGGUGCUGAUGUACCACUGGGGGCAACAUCUGCCAUCUGCAGAGCAGUACCUGGCACCCAGCACAGAGAGCUCAGCUUGGGAAGAACUGCUACAAGGAGAUGUGUAAUGCUGGGGAAAACAAACAUCACAGCCAUCCCUCAAGGACAGUAAUAAGAACAACCUGGGGAAAUGAAGACCAGCAAACUGCUUCUCAGGCUCAGGGAAGUAACGGAGCAAAUCCUCCUGGAAGUCAUUUCAGCCACAUUAAUGUCAACAAGGAGACAACAAUAUCUUUAUAGGUUGGUUAAAGGCUGGUCAUGGCUGACUAAACUGAUAGCCUCCUCUGAUGAGAUUGCAUGGAUCUGGUGGGUAAGGGAGAGGCAAGUUCCUGAGAUUUAUGUCUCAAGAACUUUCUUCAAGUGACCGUGUUUCACUUGCAUGACAAUGACACGCUUUAAGUUUCCAUGUGCUAUCCCAAACAGUUGUACUAAAUAUGUUCCCUUAAGCUUGUCCAGGUCGACUGCUGAGCAAGGGAGGCUCACUGAAUCAUGGGUGCGAGCCCAACUGGAAUCCCAAGACCAGAGCUCUCCUUUGUCAUGUGUUCAUUAAAUAAAAUACAACUUCACUAUGUUAAUGGAAUAACU